UGAGAGUGGAGCCUAAUGC
rnacentral:misc_RNA from 1 species